rnacentral:tRNA from 1 species
UCCUCCGUGGCGCAAUUGGCUAGCGCGUCUGACUGUUACCCGCGGUAGCCCAUCAGGAGGUUGAAAGUUCGAGCCUUUCCGGGGGAG